CCUACGGGAGGCAGCAGUGAGGAAUAUUGGUCAAUGGGCGCGAGCCUGAACCAGCCAAGUCGCGUGAGGGAAGACGGUCCUCUGGAUUGUAAACCUCUUUUGUCGGGGAGCAAAAGACGCCACGCGUGGCGUUCCGAGAGUACCCGAAGAAAAAGCAUCGGCUAACACCGCGCCAGCCGCCGCGGUAAUACGGAGGAUGAGAGCGUUAUCCGGAUUUAUUGGGUUUAAGGGGUGAGCAGGCGGAAGAUCAAGUCAGCGGUAAAAUUGAGAGGCUCAACCUCUUAGAGCCGUUGAAACUGGUGUUCUUGAGUGAGUGAGAAGUAUGCGGAAUGCGUGGUGUAGCGGUGAAAUGCAUAGAUAUCACGCAGAACUCCGAUUGCGAAGGCAGCAUACCGGCGCUCAACUGACGCUCAUGCACGAAAGUGUGGGUAUCGAACAGGAUUAGAUACCCCGGUAGUC
rnacentral:rRNA from 1 species